UACGGAGGGGGCUAGCGUUGUUCGGAAUUACUGGGCGUAAAGCGCACGUAGGCGGUGGUGCAUGUCAGAUGUGAAAGCCCUGGGCUUAACCUAGGAAUUGCAUUUGAAACUGCGCCGCUAGAGACCGGAAGAGGGUAGUGGAAUUCCCAGUGUAGAGGUGAAAUUCGUAGAUAUUGGGAAGAACACCAGUGGCGAAGGCGGCUUCCUGGACACCAACUGACGCUGAGACGCGAAAGCGUGGGGAGCAAACAGG
rnacentral:rRNA from 1 species